GGGAAGUUAAGCAUCCCAGGGCUGAUGGAGGCAAAGUACACCCUCCUGUACUUUAACAGAGCUCCGAGCUCAAGAACGGCCCCGGUUUCUCUCCUAGUGUGGGUGACAGAGGUGUCUAGCUUACUUUUUCUUGGACUCCCUGAUUCUUAGCUGAUCUGCAUCAAUGGGGAGCUUUUCCUCUGAGACCUGAAGCAUGGCAGUACAAGAGAUUUCA
rnacentral:lncRNA from 1 species